rnacentral:rRNA from 1 species
GACGAACGCUGGCGGCGUGCUUAACACAUGCAAGUCGAACGGAAAGGCCCUGCUUGCAGGGUGCUCGAGUGGCGAACGGGUGAGUAACACGUGGGUGAUCUGCCCCUUACUUUGGGAUAAGCCUGGGAAACUGGGUCUAAUACUGGAUAGGACCAUGCUGUAGGUGGUGUGGUGGAAAGAUUAGUUUCGGUAAGGGGUGAGCUCGCGGCCUAUCAGCUUGUUGGUGGGGUAAUGGCCUACCAAGGCGUCGACGGGUAGCCGGCCUGAGAGGGUGGACGGCCACAUUGGGACUGAGAUACGGCCCAGACUCCUACGGGAGGCAGCAGUGGGGAAUAUUGCACAAUGGGCGCAAGCCUGAUGCAGCGACGCCGCGUGGGGGAUGACGGCCUUCGGGUUGUAAACUCCUUUCAGCCAUGACGAAGCCCUUGUGGUGACGGUAGUGGUAGAAGAAGCACCGGCUAACUACGUG